rnacentral:rRNA from 1 species
UACGUAGGGUGCAAGCGUUGUCCGGAAUUAUUGGGCGUAAAGAGCUCGUAGGCGGUCUGUUGCGUCGGCUGUGAAAACCCGGGGCUCAACUCCGGGCCUGCAGCCGAUACGGGCAGACUAGAGUUCGGCAGGGGAGACUGGAAUUCCUGGUGUAGCGGUGAAAUGCGCAGAUAUCAGGAGGAACACCGGUGGCGAAGGCGGGUCUCUGGGCCGAUACUGACGCUGAGACGCGAAAGCGUGGGGAGCGAACAGG